rnacentral:tRNA from 1 species
UUAGUUGAAGCCAAAAUAGAGGCAACUUAUUGUUAAUAAGUUUACUGACCAAUAAGUCCGACUAAA